GGCCUCUGAGUGAGCCUCUGGGUCACCUCCCACCCGUGUUUAUUGUACCUUGUUGCUUCGGUGAGCCCGCCUCACGGCCGCCGGGGGGCUUCUGCCCCCGGGCCCGCGCCCACCGAAGACACCAUUGAACUCUGUCUGAAGAUUGCAGUCUGAGCAUAAACUAAAUAAGUUAAAACUUUCAACAACGGAUCUCUUGGUUCCGGCAUCGAUGAAGAACGCAGCGAAAUGCGAUAACUAAUGUGAAUUGCAGAAUUCAGUGAAUCAUCGAGUCUUUGAACGCACAUUGCGCCCCCUGGUAUUCCGGGGGGCAUGCCUGUCCGAGCGUCAUUGCUGCCCUCAAGCACGGCUUGUGUGUUGGGCUCCGUCCCCCCGGGGACGGGCCCGAAAGGCAGCGGCGGCACCGAGUCCGGUCCUCGAGCGUAUGGGGCUUUGUCACCCGCUCUGUAGGCCCGGCCGGCGCCAGCCGACAACCCAUCAUCCUUUUCAGGUUGACCUCGGAUCAGGUAGGGAUACCCGCUGAACUUAAGCAUAUCAAUAAGCGGAGGA
rnacentral:rRNA from 1 species